rnacentral:rRNA from 1 species
AUGUUUUAUUUAUAUAUUUGCCUUGCCUGUUGGUGGCGUGUUAUUCGGAGGCACGAUCUGUGCAUAAAGAGUUGUGCUUUUCCACGACCCAGCCUAUACGAUUUGCUUGGUUGGUUGUCGCUGGCCACUGCGUCUGCGUGCUCCCCACCCAGCUCAGGCCACCCAUCUGUUCCAUUCCAUUCCCAAAGAGACAGUUUUCUGGCUUUUCUUAUUCUGCUACCCAGCCCAGGCCAGGCACCCGGUUUUCGUCUUCAUAAAAACCACGACCAUCAACUGUUUUUGCUCCAUUCCUUCUCUUCUCAACAUAUUUGUCAAGCUUGUUUUUACUCCACUGUAAGUCAUCAAUCACAUGUCGCCGCUGCCCGCUGGGUAGAGACUACUCCUUUGUCAUUGAUUUGGGCCGCAACAAUCCGUCAAUCCCGUAAAAUUUGCCCGCAAAACUCUUUGGGCCCGGUUGAUUGCAAAAAAGAAGAAGAGUGA